rnacentral:rRNA from 1 species
GUGGGGAAUAUUGGACAAUGGGCGAAAGCCUGAUCCAGCCAUGCCGCGUGUGUGAAGAAGGUCUUCGGAUUGUAAAGCACUUUAAGUUGGGAGGAAGGGCAGUAAGUUAAUACCUUGCUGUUUUGACGUUACCGACAGAAUAAGCACCGGCUAACUUCGUGCCAGCAGCCGCGGUAAUACGAAGGGUGCAAGCGUUAAUCGGAAUUACUGGGCGUAAAGCGCGCGUAGGUGGUUUUGUAAGUUGGAGGUGAAAUCCCCGGGCUCAACCUGGGAACUGCCUCCAAAACUGCAUGACUAGAGUACGGUAGAGGGUAGUGGAAUUUCCUGUGUAGCGGUGAAAUGCGUAGAUAUAGGAAGGAACACCAGUGGCGAAGGCGACUACCUGGACUGAUACUGACACUGAGGUGCGAAAGCGUGGGGAGCAGACAGGAUUAGAUACCCGAGUAGUCC